rnacentral:misc_RNA from 1 species
UGGUUCUGGCAUCGAUGAAGAACGCAGCGAAAUGCGAUAAGUAAUGUGAAUUGCAGAAUUCAGUGAAUCAUCGAAUCUUUGAACGCACAUUGCGCCCUGUGGUAUUCCGCAGGGCAUGCCUGUUCGAACGUCAUUAGUACCAAUCAAGCCUAAUGCUUGGUCUUGGGGUCUGCCCUCCGGCAGCCUCUAAAAUCAGUGGCAGUGCUGGUAGGCUCUCUGCGUAGUAAAUCUCCUCGCUACAGAGUCCUAUUCGUUACCCGCCAAAACCCCCAAUUUCUCAGGGUUGACUUCGGAUCAGGUAGGGAUACCCGCUGA